rnacentral:rRNA from 1 species
GACGAACGCUGGCGGCGUGCUUAACACAUGCAAGUCGAACGGAAGGGCCCUGCUUUUGUGGGGUGCUCGAGUGGCGAACGGGUGAGUAACACGUGAGUAACCUGCCCUUGACUUUGGGAUAACUUCAGGAAACUGGGGCUAAUACCGGAUAGGAGCUCCUGCUGCAUGGUGGGGGUUGGAAAGUUUCGGCGGUUGGGGAUGGACUCGCGGCUUAUCAGCUUGUUGGUGGGGUAGUGGCUUACCAAGGCUUUGACGGGUAGCCGGCCUGAGAGGGUGACCGGCCACAUGGGGACUGAGAUACGGCCCAGACUCCUACGGGAGGCAGCAGUGGGGAAUAUUGCACAAUGGGCGGAAGCCUGAUGCAGCAACGCCGCGUGCGGGAUGACGGCCUUCGGGUUGUAAACCGCUUUCGCCUGUGACGAAGCGUUAGUGACGGUAAUGGGUAAAGAAGCACCGGCUAACUACGUG